GCCUGGGUGGCUCAGUUGAUUAGGCAUCUGACUCUUGAUUUCGGCUCAGGUCACGAUCUCAUAGUUUGUGGGUUUGAGCCCCACCUCAGGCU
rfam:Felis catus isolate Cinnamon breed Abyssinian chromosome B1, whole genome shotgun sequence.